AUCAGAGAGAAGGAACGCCUGUGGCAAAGGCUCCAGCAUCUCUCUUCCAUGGCCCCUCGGUGCUGUGUGGCCUGUAGCAAGAUCUUUGGCCGAUUGUCUCGGCGGUAUCCAUGCAGGCUCUGCGGAGGCCUGCUCUGCCAUGCUUGCUCUGCAGAUUACAAGAAGAGAGACCGCUGCUGCCCACCCUGCGCCCAGGGAGGAGAAGUCCAGGUCGCCUGACCAAGACCAAGACCAGCUCACGACCCGCCUCCCACCCUCCUUCCCACUCCACCCAGUCCACUCCCUGCCCCCAGCUCUUCCCAGCCCUCUUGUUUGUCCACUCCUAAUUCUAGACACUGGAGAUCUAAGGCACCUGCACUUCUGUGAGCAGAGAAGGGUGUGGGGGGUGGUUCCAGCCCUGCAGCUACCACAAGGAGCCAGGUGACUUUGGCAAAGCCCUCAGUGCUCAGGGCUUCUCUAACGUUAGGAGUCAGGCCCCACCCUCUCUAAAGUCCCUCUGGGCUCAGCACAUCCGUGACUGUAGAUGAGACCCCAGCAGCCCUGACGUUUCUCCUCCUCGCUCCCCACUCACCAAGGGGCAGUGCCCACCCUUCCUGAUUCACAAGAAGUGAUGCCCGCACUGUCUUGGGUUCUUCAGUAGCUUCCUGUCUGGAGUCAGCUUCAAGGAUCUGUGUUUGUGUCAUUGUUUUUCUUUUUAUGUUUAACAGCUUCACUGAAGUACUAUUGACAUGUAAUAAACAUCACAGAGUGUA